UAAAAUCAUAAAAUUCAAUUCAGCAUAUAAACUCAUACAUAAUUAGAAUUAACUAUGUCGAUUUGCUUAUAAACUUACCUCGGACGAUGAAAAACGGAACAGAAUGACUAGUCGACAACUUUAGUUUUCCCCCGAUCCAAAUUCGAUUUCUUUGAUUCUUGAUCUAAACAUAUUCAAAUUAAAACCAUUCAAACAUAUUUUCAUUCAAUUUAGUCCAAAAACACAUAAAUAGGAAAAUUACCAUUUUACCCCUGAUAUUUUACAUUUUUUACAAUAUAGUCCAAAUUGCAUAAAACACAAAACAUGCAAAAUUUGCA
rnacentral:lncRNA from 1 species